GUGUGAUGGGACAGUAUUUUCCUAACCUUCCUAUGAGCAAAAGAUACUCUUACUGACCAAUUUCCCUUGUGAGUUCAUGGUUUGUGACAUCCCUUUUCUGGCUGACCACCUAGGGGCAUUCCUCAGUCCAGUCCCCCUCAACAGGCA